rnacentral:rRNA from 1 species
UCAGAUGUAAGUACAUACAAAUUCAUCCGCCAGGGUACUACAAGCGCUAGCUUAAAACCCAAAGGACUUGACGGUGUCUCAGACCCACCUAGAGGAGCCUGUUCUAGAACCGAUAAUCCCCGUUAAACCUCACCAUCCCUUGUCUCUUCCCGCCUAUAUACCGCCGUCGCAAGCUUACCCUGUGAAGGGCUUACAGUAAGCAAAAUGGGCCAGCCCCAGAACGUCAGGUCGAGGUGUAGCUCACGGGAUGGAAAGAAAUGGGCUACAUUUUCUAUCACAGAAUAUUCACGAACGGUACCAUGAAACCUAGUACCCGAAGGUGGAUUUAGCAGUAAAAAAA